GCACGUGGAGACUGAAUCUGUCUGCAGUAAUUAUUAUUCAAACUUAUCAAAAUAUUUCGUAAUUAAAUAAAAUAUUCACCGCAAUCUAUAGAUCUUACUGACCUUGUCAUCUGAUAAGUGUCUGGUUCAUUACUAACUUCACGGUCACCAAUUGGAGCAGCCGGAAAACCCACAUCGAUAUCAUUAUGUAGCAGGCUUGUGUAAUAACCUUGCGACUGAUAUUGUGUCUCCAACGGAUAUAAAUCUUUCUCGAUGUAUAGCGACACACAUCCAUAAUGUUCAGACAAUCCAAUUAAACCCUCCAAUGAUUCAUCAUCUACUAUAUCAUGAUCAAUAUAUUCAUUCGCUCCCAUAGGGCAUCGAAUUUUGUAUUUAAGACAACAUUCUUCUCUAUUACAAUUUACUAAACGAUACAUUCUCCUCUCAAAAUUCGUAUAGGUCGUAUCUGAACGAAUUGCGAUCAAUCUCUUUCGACCACCGA
rnacentral:lncRNA from 1 species